UGUAGCUUAGUGGUAGAGUGCUUGCCUAGCAUGCAUGAAGCCCUGGGUUCAAUUUCUCAGUA
rnacentral:tRNA from 1 species